rnacentral:antisense_RNA from 1 species
GAAAGCACGACAUUGCUCACAUUGCUUCCAGUAAUAUUUAGCCAGCUUAUCCGCUGGCUUUUUUUU